GACGAACGCUGGCGGCGUGCUUAACACAUGCAAGUCGAACGGACAGGCGCUGCUCUUGUGGGGUGCUCGAGUGGCGAACGGGUGAGUAACACGUGAGUAACCUGCCCUUGACUGUGUGAUAACUUCACGAGACUCGGGCUAAUACCGGAUAGGAGCUCCUGCUGCAUAUGGGGGGUUGGAAAGAUUCGGCGGUUGGGGAUGGACUCGCGGCUUAUGAGCUUGUUGGUGGGGUAGUGGCUUACCAAGGCUUUGACGGGUAGCCGGCCUGAGAGGGUGAACGGCCACAAGAGGACUAAGAUACGGCCCAGACGGCUACGGGAGGCAGCAGGGGGGAAUAUGGCGCAGUGGGCGGAAGUCAGAUGCAGCAACGUCGCGUGCGGGAUGAUGUGCUACGGGGUGUAAACCGCUGUCUCCGGUGAUGAGGAGUGAGUGACGGUAAUGGGUAAAGAAGCACCGGCUAACUACGUG
rnacentral:rRNA from 1 species